ACAGUUUAGUAUGCUAGAAUUGAUCAUGGCUCAGUAGGAUUCUGGUACAUGAAAUUCCAGAGACAAUCUUGUCCCUGCAUGGGGCAGAGGACAGGGGGCAUGGAGGCCUGACCCAGACUACGGAUACUCAUCCUGCUAGUGAGCCUGUCUACUUGCUCCCUGCUGCAGGCAGAUAGUUUUAUAUACUCCAGUCAGAGAAGGGGCUCUGCAGGGCUUAACCAGCAAUCCAGUUGAAACCCAGGGUCGGGAGGACCUAUACUGAAUUCCAUAGAAGAUCUACUGAUGGGACACCCUUUCUGCCAUUUGUGUUGGCCAAGACCAGGAAAUGCAUAUAUAGACUUAGUGUGGUUAUAAAGGCAAGAGGUGCCAAGUGUCACACGAAUGCUUACUUUGCACAUCAUUUUCCUUGGCUUAUUGGACGUUUUGAUGUCUUAUUUCUCAGCUUUUUUGUACAUUUGCCAUCAGUAUGUCAUUCAGGAAUAAAAAUGUACUUAUUA
rnacentral:lncRNA from 1 species